rnacentral:rRNA from 1 species
UACGUAGGGGGCAAGCGUUGUCCGGAUUUAUUGGGCGUAAAGCGCGCGUAGGCGGCUUUGUAAGUUAGAGGUGAAAGCCCGGAGCUCAACUCCGGAAUAGCCUUUAAGACUGCAUCGCUAGAACGUUGGAGAGGUAAGUGGAAUUCCGAGUGUAGAGGUGAAAUUCGUAGAUAUUCGGAAGAACACCAGUGGCGAAGGCGACUUACUGGACAACUGUUGACGCUGAGGUGCGAAAGCGUGGGGAGCAAACAGG